ACCAAGUUUGUAGUUGCUUUAUCGGUGGGAGAAAAAGAGGCGUAAGACUGAAAUCGGAAAAAAGAGGCGUAAGAUUGAAAUCGGAAAAAAGAGGCGUAAGAUUGAAUUCAAUUAUUCUCACGAAACCAGAAAAAGAAAAGCAGAGGAUUAUAAUUGAUUAUCCAAGAAUGUAUAAUCUUGAUGAUUCUUGAUUAUUCUUGAUUGAGAAGGUUAAUAAAAAUUGAAAAGUUGCUAUGCUUGGAUGAUCUCAAAUUUAACUAUGAGAUAAAUUCUUGACUUAUAUGUGGCCUUCAAUAUGAAUUUUUUAUUCAUAUGAAAUGAAUCUGAUAUAAUAUGUUUCGAUGACCAAGUAUUUAAUUACGAGAUGAAUUCUUGACCCAAAAUGUGGUUUGCAAUAUGAAUUUUUUAUUCAUAUGAAAUUGCCAUAAUAUUUUUUGGAUGACCGUAACAGUUGCCUUCAAUAUGAAUUCUUUAUUCAUAUGAAAAGAGAUUGAGAAUUUGAGAUAGUAUGAUUGAAUUAUUUGGAAUUUAAUCACGAGAUAAUUCUUGACCCAAAAUGUGGCUUGCAAUAUGAAUUUUUUAUUCAUAUGAAAUGAAAUUGAGAUAGUAUGAUUGGAAGACCCGAAACUUAACAACGAGAUGAACUCUUGACCUAAAAUGUGGCUUGCAAUAUGAAUUUUUUACCCGUAUGAAAAGAAAUUGAGAUGACAUUUUUGGAUGACCUUGAAAUUUAAUUACGAGAUAGAUUCUUAACCCUAAAUGUGACCUUCAAUAUGAGUUUUUUUAUUAAUAUGAAAUUGAGAUAGUAUUUUUGGAUGAUCCGAAGUUUAAUUAUGAGAUAGAUUUUUAACCAUAAAUGUGGUCUUCAAUAUGAAUGUUUUAUUCAUAUGAAAUGAAAUUGAAAAAUUGAGAUAGUAUGAUUGGAUGACCCGAAGUUUAAUUACGAGAUGAAUUCUUGUUCUAAAAUGUGGCUUGCAAUGUAAACUUUUUAUUCAUAUGGAAUGAAAUUGGGAUAAUAUGAUUGGAAAACCUGAUAUUUAAUUACAAGAUGAAUUCUUGACCCGAAAUGUGGCUUGCCAUAUAAAUUUUUUAUUGAUGUGAAGUUGGAUCUUGACCCUACAUGUGGCCUUCAAUAUGAGUUUUUUAUUCAUUUGAACUUGGAAUUGGAUGGGCAGUAUUGUGCCUCGAUGAUCUUAGACACAAAUUUAAUCUUUGAGUCUAUAUGACAUUAAAUUCGAUAAAUUGAGAUGACAAUAUUGUGCCUCAAUGACCUUGGGUGGUGUGAUGAAAUUGGGUUGUCCUGUUGAAGCGGCAUCUUACAAUGCCUUGUUGACGGGCUCGAAAGGCAAAGAAAUUCAAAAGAUCAUUAAACUGUUGGCAGAGAUGGAAGAAACGAAAAUACAGAUCCAGUGUUAUAACCUUUGGGAUUAUUAUUAAUCACAUAUGCAAGGCUAGGAGGAUCAAUCAGGCGUUGAGGGUAUUUGAUAAAUGAUGUGGUCUUGUAUAAUACUUUGAUUGACAAGCUUAGUAAAGUUGGGAGGGAAGAAGAUGGUUUGAGUUUGCUGGCAAAGAGGAAAACUGAGAAGAAAAAUAGGCCAAACAUUGUUCCAUAUAAUUGCUUGAUUGAUGGGUUAUGCAAAGCUGAAAGGAAAUGCUGUUACUUAUACUGUUCUGAUAUCUGCAUUCUGUGGUGUGAACAAUAUUGAUAAAGCCAUGCAAUAUUUUGAUGAGAUGUUGAGUUCUGGAUGCUGACCGGAUGCAAUUGUUUACAUGAAGUUUGGUAUCUGGCUUACGCAUUGCUGGAAGGAUAAGUGGUGCCAGUGUUGUUAUGUCACAGUUGAAACGGGUUGGGUUCAGUCUUGAUACAUAUGAGGCAGUUAUACAUUCAUUCAUAUUGUUUAAAAAAGAAUGUUGAUGAGGCCAUGAAGUCACUCUGUCAGUAGUAGGUUUGAGAUAUAAGCUAAAUGCUUAGCUUUUAAUUGUCUAAGCUCCAAACUUUCGUACUCUUUUGAGCUCAUUUACAAACCAUAUUAUUUUAGUAAUAUGAUGUGGAAUCACAUUACUUUAUUUGGUUAUCAGAUUGAAUAACUGUUUGAACUUUGAAGGGGUUGAUCAUGAACUUUCUAUUAGGAUACUAUGACACUUUUUUUCUUAUUGAUGAAAAAAUUGAACUAUCUAAGAAACAGAGGACAAGAUAGUGUGCCAAUUGAUGAAGGCAGCAGAAUGGAUAGUGUGACCCUAACAAUUAAAAAUUGAAAUUUGCACAGAUCACGUCGCGUGUGGAAGAAGGGAUAUGUGCAAGUUGGAAGUCUUGAUGUUUGUUGUUGUUAAUAAAUUUUAUUAUAUAGGUGUUUUGCAAUUGGAAUUGUGGUCUUCUGUGACAAUCGAUCUAAAGUUGCAAAUUCUGUCACUUAAAUUUCAGAUGCAUAUUCAGUUUUUUUUUCAAUGCCUUUUUUGUUAGCUUUUGUAUUUUGUUAUAUUUUACCCUUGUGUGCUCAAUUGUCUCUUUGGUAUAGGUUCAUGAUGUAUUUUAUAUCAUAUCCAAGGGUUCUAAUUAUAGGCAGACAGCAAUAGCAAGAGUUCUAUGGUUACAAAAAGGAUUUAUAAAAGGAGUUCUAAUUACAGUAUUAAUGGUUACCCUGAGUACUGUCUUAGAAUUGAAUUUUGUUAGUUGGUUAAUCCUCCUUUCACUUCCUUUUACAUGUUCAUUUUUCUAACCAUUGCUUUUGGCGUGCUGAAAAUGUAAUCCUAUUGCUACUCUUGAUUAUGCUUAGAGCAAAAUUGGAGUUGAUGAUGAUCAGUGGUGUUGUGAACUUGGAGUUUAAGAAUGAAAGACUACUGAGACAAAUUCAUCAAAGGAAUUACUGGGGUCAAAUGUAUAUUUCAUGUUACUCAUAAGUGAGGGAAUUUGUGCUUUUGAUUGCACAGCCGAAGGUAAUGGAAGAAGAUUAUCAGGGUGCUUUAAAGGUUUAUGAGGAGAUUGUGAAGGAAGAACCAGAGAUUUUAGACCCUAUUUGUGUCAAUGUGUUGUGUAUACUUUGGUUAGAAAGAAUGAUGAAGCUGAGAAACAGUUUGAGGAGUAUAGAAAACUUGUACCUGAGAAUCACCCUUAUAAAGAGUAUUUAGAAGAUAACACUAAGAUUUUCUCAAAAAAACUAGAAAGGAAAGGAAUAGAUGCAAAGAGUUGAGAAUCAGAAUCACGCACAGAGGGUUUAAUUUUGAGUCAGCCAAAACUAAUGAUAGGACCAAAACAAUUUACAGCCAAAGAGGUCACUGCACAGGAAAUGUACGGUUCAAAUUUGCCGUCCUUGCUGUUAGUGAUGCUAAAAAAAGCUGAGAUGACAAACGGAGAAGGGAGAAAACAAGAAAAGCGUGAAAUUACAGAGACGAAACUAAAACAAUUGUGAACUUGGAGUUUAAGAAUGAAAGACUACUGAGACAAAUUAAUUAAAGGAAUUACUGGUCAGUAUUCUUUAUAAUCAACUCUAACUUUCUGUAUAACAUUCUUUAUAUGAAUGAGUUGUUACAUAAAUAAUUAAAUAUAUACUGUUACUUUUAAUAAAAUGGUCUUAAUUUAAAUCGGUCUUUAUUAUAGUUUAUUAGCAUGUUAUCACGUUGACUUAUGAGUUAUGCGUAGACUAAUAUAUGCAUUUCGGCUUCAUCAAACCAAAUUGUCACCAAAUCCGUCUGCCUUAAAAUUGAUAAAAACAGCUACCCAAUAUUUCUUGAUCUGAUCUACAUAGUCUCGGACCAUAAAAUUGUGAACUGCCACCUACCUUUGGUUUGUGACUUUUAUUCAAUAUUUGUGGAAAGAAUGGGGAAAGCAUCUGUCCAGGUAUUGUCUGUAGAGGUAAAUACCUAUUGUCAUUUUAUAUUUUGUUCUAAUUAAUGAUGUGGAAGAUGAUUGGGAUACUGUUUACAUUUUAUAUACGAAAUAAUGGCUGAAACAUUCCCUAUGCAUUUUAUGCUAUAAAGCAUGGGGUACUUCUAAAAUGGUGAAGUACCCAUACUAGGUGCUUACCCAGUACUGGGACUCGUACCAUAUUUGUGGGUAUUCUGUUUUUAUUUAUUUUAUUUCGAGUGAAAUUAAUGAUUUUGUUAUAUAUUAAUAUAAUAUUAUUUGUUUAUUUGAGUUUAUUUGUUAUUGUAAUCGAACACAAUUUGUGAUUUGUUAGACAUUUAUUUUGAUUUUGUAUUGUGAAUUGAACAAUUUAACUCUCUAAGUUAAAUUAUAUAAAAAAAUUAAUGUUUUUCAUUGAUGUAUCCAUACCUUAAUUUAAAAAAAAAAAAAUACCAUAUCACGUACUCGUACCAGUACCUGAUACUAGUACUGUACCUAUGCGUCAUAGAUCUUAUGCUGAUACAAUUUUCAUGCCAUUGUAUUGAUUUUACCAUAUAUUUCCUCUGAUUAUGAUAUCAUUGUGCAAACAUAUCGGUCUGUGAACAUGAGUUUGAAGUAGAGGUUGUGUCGUUGGGUUGGGCUCUAUGCUCACUAAGCUUGAUUCUGAUUUGCAACGGAAAAUUAGGCGCACAGGCUUGAAGUGUGGUAAUGAGUAACGGUACCUGGUCGCAUAUGCAAGAGUGAAGUGGUCAUUAUAUUUUUUUAGUUUGCUUACUUUCAUUUCUACGGGUCAAGUGGAAAUUAUAUGCUUUGAUUGCUCAUUGCUCAUUCAGGUUUGAAGUGGGACACAUAAGAUUUUGCCUCUAGGAGCGAAACUAUUUACUACUUGGGUUUGCACUCUGCAGAUGUGUCAGUAUAAUACUAUAGUUGACUAUCCUGCUUUUCCAUGUGUUAUAUUUGACUAGACAAAUAUUUAUUCAAUUUCAUCAACUUCAAUUAUUUGAAAUUUUUAUUUACAAAUUAAACAGUUAAAGUUUUUCUUUCUUCAUUUUAGAUAACAAAUACGAUAUAGAUCAAACUAUAAAAUAAUUUUCUUGUAUGCAAUGAUGAACAACAAGAUUACUAAUUUUCUAUUCAUA